rnacentral:rRNA from 1 species
ACAUGCAAGUCGAACGAACUCUGGUAUUGAUUGGUGCUUGCAUCAUGAUUUACAUUUGAGUGAGUGGCGAACUGGUGAGUAACACGUGGGAAACCUGCCCAGAAGCGGGGGAUAACACCUGGAAACAGAUGCUAAUACCGCAUAACAACUUGGACCGCAUGGUCCGAGCUUGAAAGAUGGCUUCGGCUAUCACUUUUGGAUGGUCCCGCGGCGUAUUAGCUAGAUGGUGGGGUAACGGCUCACCAUGGCAAUG